UCCCUGGUGGUCCAGUGGUUAAGACUCUGCACUUCCAAUGCAGGGGGCUCUGGUUCGAUUCUUGGUGGAGGAA
rnacentral:tRNA from 1 species